rnacentral:rRNA from 1 species
AUUGAACGCUGGCGGCAUGCCUUACACAUGCAAGUCGAACGGCAGCACGGGUGCUUGCACCUGGUGGCGAGUGGCGAACGGGUGAGUAAUACAUCGGAACAUGUCCUGUAGUGGGGGAUAGCCCGGCGAAAGCCGGAUUAAUACCGCAUACGAUCUACGGAUGAAAGCGGGGGACCUUCGGGCCUCGCGCUAUAGGGUUGGCCGAUGGCUGAUUAGCUAGUUGGUGGGGUAAAGGCCUACCAAGGCGACGAUCAGUAGCUGGUCUGAGAGGACGACCAGCCACACUGGGACUGAGACACGGCCCAGACUCCUACGGGAGGCAGCAGUGGGGAAUUUUGGACAAUGGGCGAAAGCCUGAUCCAGCAAUGCCGCGUGUGUGAAGAAGGCCUUCGGGUUGUAAAGCACUUUUGUCCGGAAAGAAAUGCUUGGCUCUAAUACAGUCGGGGGAUGACGGUACCGGAAGAAUAAGCACCGGCUAACUACGUG